ACACGAAAGAUAAUCGCUGCAUGUAAAUGUAGAGGAAAGUCCAUGCUCGCACAAUCUGAGAUGGUUGUAGUGUUUGUGCUUGGUGAAAAAAUAAGCCAAGGUAUAGAGGCAUCUAUAACGGCGGAUCAACAUCCUAAGGGAAACUAUGGAUCGAGACUAUAAAAGUGCCACAGUGACGAAGUUUCAUUCGAAAGAGUGAAAGUGGAACGAGGUAAACCCCAUAAGCGAGAAACCCAAAAUUGGUAGGGGAGCUUGCAAGAUCGAAUUCAAGAUUAAGCAGGGUGAAAUAUAUAUUUCACAGAUAAAUGAUUAUCACGACAGGACAUGGCUUAUUG
rnacentral:RNase_P_RNA from 1 species